CCUACGGGUGGCAGCAGUGGGGAAUAUUGCACAAUGGGGGAAACCCUGAUGCAGCGACGCCGCGUGAGUGAAGAAGUAUUUCGGUAUGUAAAGCUCUAUCAGCAGGGAAGAAAUAGCGACCUUUGGGUCGCCAGACGGUACCUGACUAAGAAGCCCCGGCUAACUACGUGCCAGCAGCCGCGGUAAUACGUAGGGGGCAAGCGGUAACCGGAUUUACUGGGUGUAAAGGGAGGGUAGACGGCAGCACAAGUCUGAAGUGAAAUGCCGGGGCUUAACCCCGGAACUGCUUUGGAAACUGGGCAGCUAGAGUGCAGGAGAGGUAAGUGGAAUUCCUGGUGUAGCGAUGAAAUGCGUAGAUAUUAGGAGGAACACCAGUGGCGAAGGCGGCUUACUGGACUGUAACUGACGUUGAGGCUCGAAAGCGUGGGGAGCAAACAGGAUUAGAUACCCGGGUAGUC
rnacentral:rRNA from 1 species